rnacentral:rRNA from 1 species
UACGGGGGGUGCGAGCGUUGUCCGGAUUCACUGGGCGUAAAGGGCGCGUAGGCGGCUGACUCAGUCGGGUCUAUAAGUGCGGGGCUCAACCCCGUGAAGGACUCGGGACGGGUUGGCUGGGGCGCGGUAGAGGGAGACGGAAUGCCGGGUGUAGUGGUGAAAUGCGCAGAUAUCAGGAGGAACACCAGUGGCGAAGGCGGGUCUCUGGGCCGAUACUGACGCUGAGGAGCGAAAGCGUGGGGAGCGAACAGG